UAUACGGUCAUCAUCCAGCCCCGUCGCCGCUCAGCCAUCGGGAGAUCCGAAAUUAGCGGAUUUCGUCACCGCCGUCCUCAUGCUUUCUUGCUUCGCCACCGCCAAGGUCGCUCCUGGAGCCGUCUCCCUCCUCCAUCCUCUCAACCAGCACGGACGACGCCGGCGUAGCCCGCCCAAUGGUGAUGGCCCCCCAUGGUCGAGAGGCCCACCCAACAACAAGCCGACUAUGACAUCCCCUAGCGGCGGCGACCAGGAAAAUCGUGAGGAACACAGAUCCAGCUUGUAGAUCCGGCACAGUUGAUUCCAUUAAUCUAGCUGUUAUCGCAUUGAGGCGUUUCUGUCCCUUCUAAAGUUCUGGUGGCGGCGGGCUUUGCUUCUCAUACUUGUCGUCGACAAAUAUGCAUAUUACCGGUUUGUAAUAUUGUUUUUUCCCUUGCGUCAGAACUCAUGGAUAUGAUUUUAUCUAUUCCGUUCUAGGCUAUAGUUCUACCUGGAGAAGAUCACUUGGCAAAUAUACUGUUUUUAGAUUAGAGUAUCACCUGAUACCUAGAUUCGUGAAUGUAACAUUACUUUCAGACAGAUAAAUCUUAUUCGUAAAUGUAACAUUACUUCUCAGACAGAUAAAUAUUUCAAGGUGUUUGAUGCUUCGAGAGAA